GACGAACGCUGGCGGCGUGCUUAACACAUGCAAGUCGAACGGAAAGGCCUGCUUUCCCUUGUGGAUUGCGGGUACUCGAGUGGCGAACGGGUGAGUAACACGUGAGUGAUCUGCCCCCAACUUGGGUAUAAGCCUGGGAAACUGGGUCUAAUUCCCGAUAGGACUGCAGGGUGGUGCCUGUGGUGGAAAACGAUUUUCUAGUGGUUGGGGAUGAGCUCGCGGCCUAUCAGCUUGUUGGUGGGGUAAUGGCCUACCAAGGCGGCGACUGGUAGCCGGCCUGGGAGGGUGGACGGGCGCAGUGGGACUGAGAUACGGCCCAGACGCCUACGGGAGGCAGCAGUGGGGAGGAGUGCACAAUGGGCGGAAGCCUGAUGCAGCGACGCCGCGUGGGGGAUGACGGCCGUCGGGUGGUAAACUCCUUGCGACCGCGAGGAAGCCACCUGGUUGGAAGGGUGGUGACGGUAGUGGUAGAAGAAGCACCGGCUAACUACGUG
rnacentral:rRNA from 1 species